AUCCCUGUAGCGCAAUGCAUACGCGCGUUGGACUUCUAAUCCAAAGGUCGUGGGUUCGAAUCCCAACUGGGAUG